GGCGUCAAGUCGGGAGUAAAGCCUUCGGGCGCUUGGAGAUGGGCCUGCGGCGGAUUAGCUAGUUGGUGGGGUAACGGCCUACCAAGGCGAUGAUCCGUAGGGGGCGUGAGAGCGUGGCCCCCCACACUGGCACUGAGAUACGGGCCAGACUCCUACGGGAGGCAGCAGUGAGGAAUAUUGCACAAUGGGCGCAAGCCUGAUGCAGCAACGCCGCGUGCGGGACGAAGGCCUUCGGGUCGUAAACCGCUUUUCUGGGGAAAGAGCAAGGACGGUACCUCAGGAAUAAGUCUCGGCUAACUACGUGCCAGCAGCCGCGGUAAAACGUAGGAGGCGAGCGUUAUCCGGAUUUACUGGGCGUAAAGCGCACGCAGGCGGCUCCGUGAGUCGGACGUGAAAGCUCUCGGCUUAACCGGGAGAGGCCGUUCGAUACUGCGGGGCUUGAGGUAGGGAGAGGAAUGCGGAAUUCCCGGUGUAGUGGUGGAAUGCGUAGAUAUCGGGAGGAACACCUGUGGCGAAAGCGGCAUUCUGGCCCUCACCUGACGCUGAGGUGCGAAAGCGUGGGUAGCAAACAGGAUUAGAUACCCUGGUAGUCCACGCCGUAAACGAUGUCAACUGGGUGUCGGUAGUUUUACACUAGCGGUGCCGAAGCUAACGCG
rnacentral:rRNA from 1 species